GAACGGGUGAGUAACACGUGAGCAACCUGCCCCAGGCUUUGGGAUAACCCCGGGAAACCGGGGCUAAUACCGAAUAUGACCUCUGACCGCAUGGUUGGUGGUGGAAAGUUUUUCGGCUUGGGAUGGGCUCGCGGCCUAUCAGCUUGUUGGUGGGGUGAUGGCCUACCAAGGCGACGACGGGUAGCCGGCCUGAGAGGGCGACCGGCCACACUGGGACUGAGACACGGCCCAGACUCCUACGGGAGGCAGCAGUGGGGAAUAUUGCACAAUGGGCGGAAGCCUGAUGCAGCGACGCCGCGUGAGGGAUGACGGCCUUCGGGUUGUAAACCUCUUUCAGCAGGGACGAAGCGUAAGUGACGGUACCUGCAGAAGAAGCGCCGGCCAACUACGUGCCAGCAGCCGCGGUAAGACGUAGGGCGCGAGCGUUGUCCGGAUUUAUUGGGCGUAAAGAGCUCGUAGGCGGCUUGUCGCGUCGACCGUGAAAACUUGGGGCUCAACCCCAAGCCUGCGGUCGAUACGGGCAGGCUAGAGUUCGGUAGGGGAGACUGGAAUUCCUGGUGUAGCGGUGAAAUGCGCAGAUAUCAGGAGGAACACCGGUGGCGAAGGCGGGUCUCUGGGCCGAUACUGACGCUGAGGAGCGA
rnacentral:rRNA from 1 species